rnacentral:tRNA from 1 species
GCCCGACUAGCUCAGUCGGUAGAGUAUGAGACUCUGUAUCUCGGGCUGUGGGUUUGAGCCCCACGUUGGACG